GAAUCACUAGUGAUUUUCCGGUUGAUCCUGCCGGAGGUCACUGCUAUCGGGGUUCGAUUAAGCCAUGCGAGUUGAGAGGGUUUAGACCCUCGGCGGACUGCUCAGUAACACGUGGAUAACCUGCCCUAAGGUGGAGGAUACCCCGGGAAACUGGGGAUAAUACUCCAUAGACCAGAGUGACUGGAAUGUUUUCUGGUCGAUAGUUCCGGCGCCUUAGGAUGGAUCUGCGGACGAUUAGGUAGUUGUAGGGGUAACGGCCCAACAAGCCAGUCAUCGGUACGGGUUGUGGGAGCAAGAGCCCGGAGAUGGAAUCUGAGACACGAUUCCAGGCCCUACGGGGCGCAGCAGGCGCGAAAACUUUACAAUGCAGGAAACUGUGAUAAGGGAACCCCGAGUGCUCGUACACGCGAGCUGUCCAGGUGUGUAAAAAGCAUCUGAAGAAAGGGCCGGGCAAGACCGGUGCCAGCCGCCGCGGUAAUACCGGCGGCUCGAGUGGUGGCCACUAUUAUUGGGCUUAAAGCGUUCGUAGCUGGACUCUUAAGUCUCCUGGGAAAUCCGCCGGCUCAACCGGCGGGCGUCCAGGAGAUACUGGGAGUCUUG
rnacentral:rRNA from 1 species